rnacentral:rRNA from 1 species
UACGUAGGGUGCAAGCGUUGUCCGGAAUUAUUGGGCGUAAAGGGCGCGUAGGCGGCCGCCUAAGUCAGACGUGAAAUCCCUCGGCUCAACCGGGGAACUGCGUCUGAUACUGGGUGGCUUGAAUCCGGGAGAGGGAUGCGGAAUUCCAGGUGUAGCGGUGAAAUGCGUAGAUAUCUGGAGGAACACCGGUGGCGAAGGCGGCAUCCUGGACCGGCAUUGACGCUGAGGCGCGAAAGCCAGGGGAGCAAACGGG